rnacentral:tRNA from 1 species
CCCAGUGUCGGUGACGGAGUACACCGCGUGCCCAUCGCGCACGCCCCAAUCGAGGCGGAUCGUGCCGCCAUCGGGC